rnacentral:rRNA from 1 species
GACGAACGCUGGCGGCGUGCUUAACACAUGCAAGUCGUGGGCACCAGCAAUGGUGACCGGCGAACGGGUGCGUAACACGUGAGCGACCUACCGAUUUGUGGGGGAUAGCUGGCCCAACGGCCGGGUAAUACCGCAUACGCCGAGCUUGCCGCAUGGCUCGCUCGGGAAACCUCCGGGGCAAAUCGAGGGGCUCGCGGCCUAUCAGCUAGUUGGCGAGGUAAUGGCUCACCAAGGCGACGACGGGUAGCUGGUCUGAGAGGAUGGCCAGCCACAUUGGGACUGAGAAACGGCCCAGACUCCUACGGGAGGCAGCAGUGGGGAAUCUUGCGCAAUGGCCGAAAGGCUGACGCAGCGACGCCGCGUGUGGGAUGAAGCUCUUCGGGGGUGUAAACCACUGUUGCCCGGGACGAACGGCGAGAUUUAUCUCGCGUGACGGUACCGGGUGAGGAAGCACCGGCUAACUCCGUGCCAGCCGCCGCGGUAA